UACAGAGGUCCCAAGCGUUGUUCGGAUUCACUGGGCGUAAAGGGUGCGUAGGUGGUGAGGUAAGUCGGAUGUGAAAUCUCCGGGCUCAACCCGGAAAUGGCAUUGGAAACUACCUUGCUGGAGGAUUUGAGGGGGGAUUGGAAUACUUGGUGUAGCAGUGAAAUGCGUAGAUAUCAAGUGGAACACCAGUGGCGAAGGCGAAUCCCUGGAAAAUACCUGACACUGAGGCGCGAAAGCUAGGGGAGCAAACAGG
rnacentral:rRNA from 1 species